rnacentral:rRNA from 1 species
UUGUGGUUAAAAAGCUCGUAGUUGGAUCUCAACAGCCUUGAAGCGGUUAACUUUGUAGUUUUACUGCUUUAUAGGCUGUGCUUUUGCUGGAGGUUUAGGGGUGCUCUUGAUCGAGUGUCUCUGGAUGCCAGCAGGUUUACUUUGAAAAAAUUAGAGUGCUCAAAGCAGGCUAAAAUGCCUGAAUAUUCGUGCAUGGAAUAAUAGAAUAGGAUGUCGAUCCUAUUUUGUUGGUUUUCGGGACUCGACAUAAUGAUAAAUAGGGACAGUCGGGGGCAUUUGUAUUCAAACGACAGAGGUGAAAUUCUUGGACCGUUUGAAGACAAACUACUGCGAAAGCAUUUGCCAAGAAUGUUUUCAUUAAUCAAGAACGAAAGUUAGAGGUUCGAAGGCGAUUAGAUACCGCCCUAGUUCUAACCAUAAACGAUGCCAGCUAGCGAUCUGCCUGCGUUUUUACUGUAGACUGGGCGGGAAGCUUCCGGGAAACCAAAGCAUUUGGGUUCCAGGGGAAGUAUGGUUGCAAAGCUGAAACUUAAAGGAAUUGACGGAAGGGCACCACCAGGAGUGGAGCCUGUGGCUUAAUUUGACUCAACACGGGAAAUCUCACCA